rnacentral:rRNA from 1 species
AGCAUAUGCUUGACUUGGAGAUUAAGCCAUGCAUGUCUAAGUAUAAGUUAUAUAUGGCGAAACUGCGAAUGGCUCAUUAAAACAGUUAUAAUUUAUUUGGUGAUUUUAUUACAUGGAUAACCGUGGGAAACUAGGGCUAAUACAUGAAAGGCUGUAUUUAUUAGUCUUAAAUCAAUAUAGUCAGCUAUAUUGUAAGGAAUUAUAAUAACUUUUCGGAGCGCAGUAAAAUGCGCCACACCAUAUAAGUUUCUGCCCUAUCAGCUCUCGAUGGUAGUGUAUUGGACUACCAUGGCAAUCACGGGUAACGGGGAAUUGGGGUUCGAUUCCGGAGAGGGAGCCUGAGAAACGGCUACCAUUUCUAAGGAAGGCAGCAGGCGCGUAAAUUACCCAAUCCUGACUAAGGGAGGUAGUUAAUGGAAAUAAUGCAUUCGGCUCUAUGAGCUCUGAAUAUGUAAUGAGUUGAACUUAAUCUACUCUUUGAAUCCUAUUAGAGGGCAAGUCUGGUGCCAGCAGCCGCGGUAAUUCCAGCUCUAAUAGCGUAUAUUAAUGUUGUUGCAGUUAAAAAGCUCGUAGUUGAAAUUCCGGCGGUUUCCGCCUGUCUGGGAUUCUUUGGAUCAUGAAUAAUGUUUUAAUGAAUGCAAGACCAGACUUUACUGUGAACAAAAUAAAGUGCUCAAAGCAGGCAAUAGCUUGAAUAAUCUAGCAUGGAAUAAUAUAAUAUGACUUUAUUCAUUUUAUUGGUCAUUGGAUGAAGUAAUGAUUAACAGGAACAGUUGGGGGCAUUCGUAUUUAAUAGUCAGAGGUGAAAUUCAUAGAUUUAUUAAAGACGAACUAAUGCGAAAGCAUUUGCCAAGGAUGUUUUCAUUAAUCAAGAACGAAAGUUAGGGUAUCGAAGACGAUCAGAUACCGUCGUAGUCCUAACCAUAAACUAUACCGACUAGGGAUUGGUAGGGUAUAACUCUAUCAGCACCUAAUGAGAAAUCAAAGUCUUUGGGUUCUUGGGGGAGUAUGGUCGCAAGGCUGAAACUUAAAGGAAUAGACGGAAGCGCACUACCAGGAGUGGAGUCUGCGGCUUAAUUUGAUUCAACACGGGGAAACUUACCAGGGCAACAUGUCGAUAGGAUUGACAGAUUGAUAGCUUUUUCUUGAUCCGAUACUUUGUGGUGCAUGGCCGUUCUUAGUUGGUGGAGUGAUUUGUCAGGUUAAUUCCCUUAACGAACGAGACCUUAACCUGCUAAAUAGAAAGUUCUAAAAUCUAGUUCUUUUCUUCUUAGAGGGACUACUGAUUCCAAGUAAGUGGAAGUUUGAGGCAAUAACAGGUCCGUGAUGCCCUUAGACGUUCUGGGCCGCACGCGUACUACAAUGAUACAAGCAAUAAGUCAACCUAGUCCGAAAGGAGAUGGGUAAUCUUUAUAAACUGUAUCGUGCUUGGGAUAGAUCUUUGCAAUUAUGGAUCUUGAACGAGGAACUCCUAGUAAGCAUGGGUCAUCAACCCAUGUUGAUUACGUCCCUGCCCUUUGUACACACCGCCCGCCGCUUCUACCGAUUCGAGUGGUUCGACGAAUUCUCCGGACUGGCCUAGCCAGAAAGUUGUGUAAGUCAUAUCACUUAGAGGAAGAAUAAGGCGUAACAAGGUAUCU